rnacentral:rRNA from 1 species
AUUGAACGCUGUGCGGCAUGCCUUACACAUGCAAGUCGAACGGUAACGGGUCCUUCGGGAUGCCGACGAGUGGCGAACGGGUGAGUAAUAUAUCGGAACGUGCCCAGUAGUGGGGGAUAACUGCUCGAAAGAGCAGCUAAUACCGCAUACGACCUGAGGGUGAAAGGGGGGGAUCGCAAGACCUCUCGCUAUUGGAGCGGCCGAUAUCAGAUUAGCUAGUUGGUGGGGUAAAGGCCUACCAAGGCAACGAUCUGUAGUUGGUCUGAGAGGACGACCAGCCACACUGGGACUGAGACACGGCCCAGACUCCUACGGGAGGCAGCAGUGGGGAAUUUUGGACAAUGGGCGCAAGCCUGAUCCAGCAAUGCCGCGUGCAGGAAGAAGGCCUUCGGGUUGUAAACUGCUUUUGUCAGGGAAGAAAUCUUCUGGGCUAAUACCCCGGGAGGAUGACGGUACCUGAAGAAUAAGCACCGGCUAACUACGUGCCAGCAGCCGCGGUAAUACGUAGGGUGCGAGCGUUAAUCGGAAUUACUGGGCGUAAAGCGUGCGCAGGCGGCUUUGCAAGACAGAUGUGAAAUCCCCGGGCUCAACCUGGGAACUGCAUUUGUGACUGCAAGGCUAGAGUACGGCAGAGGGGGAUGGAAUUCCGCGUGUAGCAGUGAAAUGCGUAGAUAUGCGGAGGAACACCAAUGGCGAAGGCAAUCCCCUGGGCCUGUACUGACGCUCAUGCACGAAAGCGUGGGGAGCAAACAGGAUUAGAUACCCUGGUAGUCCACGCCCUAAACGAUGUCAACUGGUUGUUGGACGGCUUGCUGUUCAGUAACGAAGCUAACGCGUGAAGUUGACCGCCUGGGGAGUACGGCCGCAAGGUUGAAACUCAGAGGAAUUGACGGGGACCCGCACAAGCGGUGGAUGAUGUGAUUUAAUUCGAUGCAACGCGAAAAACCUUACCUACCCUUGACAUGUCAAGAAUUCUGCAGAGAUGUGGAAGUGCUCGAAAGAGAACUUGAACACAGGUGCUGCAUGGCCGUCGUCAGCUCGUGUCGUGAGAUGUUGGGUUAAGUCCCGCAACGAGCGCAACCCUUGUCAUUAGUUGCUACGCAAGAGCACUCUAAUGAGACUGCCGGUGACAAACCGGAGGAAGGUGGGGAUGACGUCAGGUCCUCAUGGCCCUUAUGGGUAGGGCUACACACGUCAUACAAUGGCCGGUACAGAGGGCUGCCAACCCGCGAGGGGGAGCCAAUCCCAGAAAACCGGUCGUAGUCCGGAUCGUAGUCUGCAACUCGACUGCGUGAAGUCGGAAUCGCUAGUAAUCGCGGAUCAGCUUGCCGCGGUGAAUACGUUCCCGGGUCU